GUGUCAGUGAGUGUGCGUGCGGGGGUCGCGGGGCGAGCCAGCGUUGCUAUGGGAACGCUUCGAGGCGCCUUGGAUGCUCGCCCGGGGUACGGACGCGCCCAAAGCGGGGACUGCCCGGGCGCUCCCGCUCGAUCGGCCAUCGACAAAGUUCGACCACUGCAGCGAGUUGAGGAGUUGCUCGAGUUGCUUCCAAGUCGCCUAUUCAUCCCCUCGUUCCCGCCAAUGGCAGCACUCUGUGAGUUCACCGUGGGUUUCCGGAACUCUGCGCGCCCCUUGUUCCGUCGCAACGUCUUUGUUCUUACGGAGCGGGUGUGGCGUACGAGGCAGCGCUCGCACACCGUGAAGUCAACCGUCCAAAGUGUUCGACACCGAGAUCUUCGUGGAACACGAGACGGCAACGCUGAAGUCGGGAAAUUGCCGAGAGAUGCUGACGCCGGUGACAAACGGCUUAGCUCCUUGCCGAAGGACAAGCAUGCUCAUUGGUGCAACAGCUGGUGUGCAAAGACAUCAGGAUGGCAGUUUGCAGUUGGCCAGAUAUCGAACUUGCACUGGACUGCUCAACACUGCUGGAGGCAACUCACUCUAAAACGGCACGCCAUACACCGUCUCACAGGCCAUUUGAACUGGCCUUUAUGCAACAAGAUCUCCGGGCUGCUCAGUGCAGUCCCCAGUAACAAGGCUGUCUGCACGGCAGUCCUUGCAAAACACUUUCAGCAAUGGUCCUGGAGCACAUGGUGAAAGUUGAAUGACAAUGCAAACAAAGGCAUGGGCAGGUAUGGAGGCAAGGCAAAGGCAGGCAAAGCUUGGCAUGGCAAACGCAGACCAGGCAAGAUGCAGUACAAGAGGAGGUCGGCACAAGAAGCUGGCCGGCCUCAGUCUGGUCUCGUGAGCUUGUGGAGGGAGUGCGGUGGCACCGGCCAGUCUGAAAAUGGGCUCAGACCUACCCUACAGUCUCCCCCCAAUCUAUCGCGCGUGCCUGUCCUUGUCCAUACCCACCCCCAUUAGCUUUCAACAACAAAAAAACAACAACGAAAUUUAUUAAUUUUUAUUUUUAUUUAUUAAUUUUUAUUUUUAUUUUUAGAAUUAUGUGUGUCCCCAGCCCCUUUAUUGUCUAUGUCUGGCUAACCUGUCCAAACUGUAUCCCCAAUCCCUAAGAUCCUUUUUGAGGGGAUUGAGGAAGAGACUAGUGAAUCCGUCUCGAGGCCCAAUGCAGCCUCAGAACAACUCCCUCAGAUUUCAGCACUCUCCAAGGAUGAGUCCAGCGGCCCACGAUCAGCGAACUGAUGGAUGAUGUUAAGGGGUACACGUUUCCUAUCUAUCCUAGCAUUUAUUAAACUUUAAUUUAUCCCCGGGGCUUUUCAACACACCUGUCUCUUUAAACUAUCGAUUCUGGAAACCAUGAUACCUGUCGCCUGUGUUGGUGUUCGUUAUUCAUUUGGGCCUGGCCCGCAAAUUUUCUCUCGUGCUCUUGCACAAUUUCGUG
rnacentral:lncRNA from 1 species